AGUAGGACACUCUAUUGUUCAGUCCCGGUGCUGCUUGGCUGUUCCUUGACAGAACAGUAAAUGGUUGCAACGUAUUCCUAACAUGAUUAUCUCUCCCCACUGAUAAUGUAACAUGGCACAACAUGAAAACUUCUUUCUCUGCUCAAGAAGAAAAGCAGGAAUGGCAAGGGACCAAAGUGGAACCACCCUCUGAGAAUCUCCAUCACUGAUCCACAUCUCUAAAAUACCAAUAUAUUUCACUUUUCCUUCACAAUAUAAACUGUUGUGUACUACAUCAAGAUCGAUGGAUUUUCAUUCUUUCAGGCUUCAUAAUAACAGAAAUAAUAAUAAACUAGCCUGACAUUUUAUCUGUGCAUAAGUAUUUUGGGUGAUGGUAGAACUUGAAAACUGUCUAUAAAAUAUAGUUUGUAUUACUCCUUCCAGAAAAAUAAAUUAAAAAAUGGAAAGUUCAUAGCCAGCAGCAUAAUUUCAACAUCACAAUGGUGAAGACAAGACUUAGACAAAGGUAUUUCAAAAGCACUGGGAAAAGAACCAGCAAGAUCAUUCUCUUUCUUAAGAAACAGUUUUGGAAUAGAAAAAUCACCUUCCCUAUCUGCGUGUAGCCAUCCAUUCUUAGAUCUUUAGUCUACUUGCUUGUAUGUAGUAUAAAUAUAUGUAGCAAAAGGAAGAGCUAGAUGUGAAUUUGAAGUUGUUUUUAAGCUCAUCCAAGAAAAGAUUUCUUUUCACUUUGUGUCAAAUAAAUCUUUCUUCAGUUUCACCAUUUUAUCAUUUAUCAUUGGUGCAUUUCUUCUUUCAGUUCCAAGAUCUUCCCUUGAUGACUCUUUAUGGUAUAUUCUCCAUGUGAUUUGAGAGAGUUGGCAUUGCCAUGUGGACAGUUUCUUGCAACAGAGAAGCAACAAAGUGUAUAGCAAAGUAGAGCUUGGAGCUGCUACUAUUGUGCAACAGCAACAGAAAUAUGCUCUAAAUAUACGCUCUGUGAAAUAAAUAGCAUUGGAAGUGUGAGCAGGCUGUUCUAUUACAAAAUGCCUUAAAACAACAAAAGCAGUGAUCUAUACUAACCUUGUCGAUUUUAAAGACUUUCUUUUUUUGCCCACUGAACAGUUACUUAUUCCCUGCAUUUAUAUUCUAAAUGAAUAACGCAGACAUGGGGUCAAAGACAGAA